GUCACUGUUACACAGUUUUGGUGUAGCCAGGGGAGGUGUGGCUAGGGCUGCAUAAACAAACAAAAGUGAUUUAACCCCUGAAGAGCAGUGAGACUGCAUAGACAUGAUCUAUAUACCAAAAAUGCUUUACUAAGCUAAAGUUAAUUUUGAGGACUAUAGUGUCCCUUUAAAAACAGUGCCAUUUCUGAGAAUUACCUUUUUAUUCCUAUGCCUGGCAGCUGCAUGUUGACGCUAC